AGAACGAACGCUGGCGGCAGGCUUAACACAUGCAAGUCGAACGCUCGUAGCAAUACGGGAGUGGCAGACGGGUGAGUAACGCGUGGGAACAUACCCUCCGGUUCGGAAUAGCUCAGGGAAACUUGGAUUAAUACCGGAUACGGCUGAGAGGCGAAAGAUUUAUCGCCGGAGGAUUGGCCCGCGUUCGAUUAGCUUGUUGGUGAGGUAACGGUUCACCAAGGCGAUGAUCGAUAGCUGGUCUGAGAGGAUGAUCAGCCACAUUGGGACUGAGACACGGCCCAAACUCCUACGGGAGGCAGCAGUGGGAAUAUUGGACAAUGGGCGCAAGCCUGAUCCAGCCAUGCCGCGUGAGUGAUGACGGCCUUAGGUGUAAAGCUCUUUCGCUCGGGACGAUAAUGACGGUACCGAGAUAAGAACGCCCCGGCUAACUUCGUGCCAGCAGCCGC
rnacentral:rRNA from 1 species